CUAGUAAGCGAAAAGUGCAUAAAAUAAGUGAAAAAGUUACCACAAUAUACAAAUUAUCAAUGUAAAAGUUGUCAAUUUUUCAAAUUUAAAUGCAAAUAUCUUUAAAACUACAAGUCAGCGGUCACCUUUCCACUGAUACCCAUUUUAUCCCCGAAAUCCGGGGAUGCUAUUCUAAAUUUUACCCUAUAUUUUCAUAACAUUUUUUGUCUUUCUUAAUAAAUCGUCCAAAUACUGCAAUUCAAAGGAAACUUAGGAAGAGGCAAAAACUUUGCAGCAUUGUACGAGUACUGUAAUAUAUGGCCGGCACAAUUCCGAUUUCUUUGGCGCCGCGAUUUGAAGGCACUGUUGGAAAAAGGAAGUCCUUCUGAUUAAAAAAUAUAUAGUGUUAUAGAAAGGAGUACUAUGCGAAAGUACUUCAGUCACCCCGGGU